rnacentral:rRNA from 1 species
UACCAGCACCCCGAGUGGUCGGGACGUUUAUUGGGCCUAAAGCAUCCGUAGCCGGUUCUACAAGUCUUCCGUUAAAUCCACCUGCUUAACAGAUGGGCUGCGGAAGAUACUAUAGGGCUAGGAGGCGGGAGAGGCAAGCGGUACUCGAUGGGUAGGGGUAAAAUCCGUUGAUCCAUUGAAGACCACCAGUGGCGAAGGCGGCUUGCCAGAAUGCGCUCGACGGUGAGGGAUGAAAGCUGGGGGAGCAAACCGG